GCGGUCAUGGCGGAAGUGGUAGACGCGCUAGCUUGAGGUGCUAGUUCUUUAACCGGAGUGGAGGUUCGAGUCCUCUUGACCGCACCA
rnacentral:tRNA from 1 species